UUGACCUCAAAUCAGGUAGGAUUACCCGCUGAACUUAAGCAUAUCAAUAAGCGGAGGAAAAGAAACCAAC
rnacentral:rRNA from 4 species